GGUGUAUGUGAAGAGAGAAAAAGUGAAAGCUCAGAGAAUGUUGUUGGAGAAACUAGAUGUCAACAGGAAGGCCAGGCAUCAACAUCCAGUGCUUUUAAGGCUGUACGAGUGUUAUUACAGUGAUCACUGGAGACAUCAAAUGCAAGUUUCACGAUACGCUUUCAGAUGACUGACUGUUCUCCGCUUGUGGACCUUCCUGCAGGACCAGGAUCUCCGAAACUCUAAGGCACACACACAUUUCUUUUAGGCUGUUUGCAAG